GAUGAAGAACGUAGCGAAAUGCGAUAAGUAAUGUGAAUUGCAGAAUUCAGUGAAUCAUCGAAUCUUUGAACGCACAUUGCGCCCGCCAGUAUUCUGGCGGGCAUGCCUGUUCGAGCGUCAUUUCAACCAUCAAGCCCCCGGCUUGUGUUGGGGACCUGCGGCUGCCGCAGGCCCUGAAAACCAGUGGCGGGCUCGCUGUCACACCGAGCGUAGUAGAUUUUCAUCUCGCUCAGGGCGUGCUGCGGGUUCCGGCCGUAAAAAGCCUUAUUUACCCAAGGUUGACCUCGGAUCAGGUAGGAAGACCCGCUGAACUUAAGCAUAUCAAUAAAGCGGAGGA
rnacentral:misc_RNA from 1 species